GAUUUUGAUCCUGGCUCAGAGCGAACGCUGGCGGCAGGCUUAACACAUGCAAGUCGAGCGGGCGUAGCAAUACGUCAGCGGCAGACGGGUGAGUAACGCGUGGGAACGUACCUUUUGGUUCGGAACAACACAGGGAAACUUGUGCUAAUACCGGAUAAGCCCUUACGGGGAAAGAUUUAUCGCCGAAAGAUCGGCCCGCGUCUGAUUAGCUAGUUGGUGAGGUAACGGCUCACCAAGGCGACGAUCAGUAGCUGGUCUGAGAGGAUGAUCAGCCACAUUGGGACUGAGACACGGCCCACACUCCUACGGGAGGCAGCAGUGGGGAAUAUUGGACAAUGGGCGCAAGCCUGAUCCAGCCAUGCCGCGUGAGUGAUGAAGGCCCUAGGGUUGUAAAGCUCUUUUGUGCGGGAAGAUAAUGACGGUACCGCAAGAAUAAGCCCCGGCUAACUUCGUGCCAGCAGCCGCGGUAAUACGAAGGGGGCUAGCGUUGCUCGGAAUCACUGGGCGUAAAGGGUGCGUAGGCGGGUCUUUAAGUCAGGGGUGAAAUCCUGGAGCUCAACUCCAGAACUGCCCUUGAUACUGAGGAUCUUGAGUUCGGGAGAGGUGAGUGGAACUGCGAGUGUAGAGGUGAAAUUCGUAGAUAUUCGCAAGAACACCAGUGGCGAAGGCGGCUCACUGGCCCGAUACUGACGCUGAGGCACGAAAGCGUGGGGAGCAAACAGGAUUAGAUACCCUGGUAGUC
rnacentral:rRNA from 1 species